GGAAUAUUGGUCAAUGGACGCAAGUCUGAACCAGCCAUGCCGCGUGGAGGAUGAAGGUCCUCUGGAUUGUAAACUUCUUUUAUCUGGGAAGAAACCCAUAUUUUCCAAUGUGGUUGACGGUACCAGAUGAAUAAGCACCGGCUAACUCCGUGCCAGCAGCCGCGGUAAUACAGAGGGGGCAAGCGUUGUUCGGAAUUACUGGGCGUAAAGGGCGCGUAGGCGGCCUGCUAAGUCGAACGUGAAAUCCCCGAGCUCAACUCGGGAACUGCGUCCGAUACUGACAGGCUUGAAUCCGGGAGAGGGAUGCGGAAUUCCAGGUGUAGCGGUGAAAUGCGUAGAUAUCUGGAGGAACACCGGUGGCGAAGGCGGCAUCCUGGACCGGCAUUGACGCUGAGGCGCGAAAGCUAGGGGAGCAAAC
rnacentral:rRNA from 1 species